CCUCCGGUAGCUCAGUCGGUAGAGCGACGGGUCAAAAUCGAUGAUAUGUUCGGAGGUCGAUUCGAAACCCGUAGGCGUUGGUUCGAGUCCAGCUCGGAGGG
rfam:Stereum hirsutum FP-91666 SS1 unplaced genomic scaffold STEHIscaffold_2, whole genome shotgun sequence.